rnacentral:lncRNA from 1 species
AAGAAAAACAAAAAGAAAAAUCUUAACCUCCAACACUUGGGUAAGAGGGAAAGGAUCUCAGUGCAAAGAAUUCUUUCAGAACAUCAUAAUUUCAAUCAUAAGCUGAAUCAUAAGUUGAACCUUCUGAAUUGUAAUAAUCAUGUAAGGUCUCAGAGUUCGGCAGUUUUUUUUUUCUUGGUGAUCAAGGUAAGAUGAUCAACCACUGGUUCUUUAUCAAAUGGAAGGAGUCAAGCAACAGCAGCAGCUGGCAGAGUAAAAUGUUUAUUUCAGCUUCUUUGCUAAACAAGGAAGACGUAUGCUAGAUAGAUAGGAAGGAAUUUGCAAGUUAAUUAACUAUGUAAAAUUACAGAUUUAUGAUAUGAAUUGACUGUGGGCUGUUCAAAGUUACUUUGAAAUUAAGCUUUAUUUACUUCUUUUUACAUGAUCAUUUACAGAUGUGUAAGAAAAAAAGAUAUGUCUGGUAGGUUUACACUGAAAGCAAUGGUCAUCUAGGAAAUGCAAUUACAUCUCCUGAAAGCAGAAAGGUAAUACCCUCUGUGUUUCAUGAUGCUGUUUUGAAAAUAUGCCACUUAUGAAGAAAUAGGAACUGGAGUUCAGGCCUGACACGGUUCCUCCUCAAGAAUUAAACUUUAACACUUCUCAAAACACUGAGUGAUUUUCUGCACUGUUGCCAUUUCAUAUAUUGAUGCACAUAUAAGCUUCUUACUCGAAGGGACAAGACACUCUGGGAGAAGGUCCAAAUUCACACACAUUGCACAUUAGCAGCUACAAGGCAAGCUGGAAAAAUGUUGAGAUGGAACUUUAAAAGGCAAAAUAAGUUCUUACUGUGUCUGUGGUUUCAUGUUCUUGAAAGAAUAGUGAACAAACCACACCAAAACUUCAUUGAUACCACCUACUCAAGCCGACUCAGCUACUCCAAGGACUGCUCUCCCCCAUUAUACAGUUCCCUGUUGCCCUAUCCAGCAAAGAACAAUAUUACAGGGUUUAUUUUCCCCCAGAACUUUAUCAAGAAAAUUAUUAUCCUCAUUUCUUUGGAGAGAUUUUUAUUUGUGUCAAACAAAUUUGUUUUCAAAGAUUCUUAAAAAAUAAAAGAAAAAAUCAAACUAUGUUAACA